rnacentral:misc_RNA from 1 species
GAAAUGCGAUAAGUAGUGUGAAUUGCAGAAUUCAGUGAAUCAUCGAAUCUUUGAACGCACAUUGCGCCCUUUGGUAUUCCUUAGGGCAUGCCUGUUCGAGCGUCAUCUAAACCUUCAAGCCCUGCUUGGUGUUGGGUGCCUGUCCCGCCUCCGCGCGCGGACUCACCUCAAAUCCAUUGGCGGCCCCCGCGUCGGCCACGAGCGCAGCAGAAACGCGAACUCGUGAGCCCGUCCGGGCGGCUCCCAGAAGCUACACCCACCCAGUUUGACCUCGGAUCAGGUAGGGAUACCCGCUGAACUUACGC